UUUCCCUCAGGAUAGCUGGCACUCGCUUGAGCGAGUCUCAUCUGGUAAAGCGAAUGAUUAGAGGCCUUGGGGCCGAAACGACCUCAACCUAUUCUCAAACUUUAAAUGGGUGAGAUCUCUGGCUUGCUUGAACGUUGAAGCCACGAGAGCAUAUUGCAAUGGAUCAGAGUGCCAAGUGGGCCAAUUUUGGUAAGCAGAACUGGCGCUGUGGGA
rnacentral:rRNA from 2 species